rnacentral:rRNA from 1 species
UACAGAGGUCUCAAGCGUUGUUCGGAUUCAUUGGGCGUAAAGGGUGCGUAGGCGGCGCGGUAAGUCGGGUGUGAAAUCUUGGAGCUUAACUCCGAAACUGCAUUCGAUACUGCCGUGCUUGAGGACUGGAGAGGAGACUGGAAUUUACGGUGUAGCGGUGAAAUGCGUAGAUAUCAUGAGGAAGACCAGUGGCGAAGGCGGAUCUCUGGACAGUUCCUGACACUGAGGCACGAAGGCCAGGGGAGCAAACGGG